UACGUAGGGGGCAAGCGUUGUCCGGAAUCAUUGGGCGUAAAGCGCGUGUAGGCGGCUCGGUAAGUCCGCUCUGAAAGUCCAGGGCUCAACCCUGGGAUGCGGGUGGAUACUGCCGGGCUCGAGUCCGGAAGAGGCGGAGUGGAAUUCCCGGUGUAGCGGUGAAAUACGCAGAUAUCGGGAGGAACACCAAUGGCGAAGGCAGCUCGCUGGGACGUGACUGACGCUGGAGAGCG
rnacentral:rRNA from 1 species